CUCUCCGUCUCACGCACCCUUGUCUCUCUCUCUCUCUCUCUCUCUCUCUCUCUCUCUCACACACACACACACACACACACACACACACACACACAGAGCUUGAAGAAGAUGUCAAGAAGAGUGUCUGUUUCUUCCAUUAUUGGACGACGAAGAAGAAGAAGAAUUGCUGAUCAUAAUUGUCAAAAAGGCAUUCAGGUCAAUAUCUUCACGUUGAACAUUGCUAUUAACUGUUAUUGCCGCCUGAAUCAAGUCCAUUUUGGGUUCUCUCUUUUGGGUACCCUCUUCAAACGCGGUUAUACACCUGAUGUAACUACCUUCAACACUCUGUUAAAUGGACUUAUUUUGGACGAUAAAACCCCUGAAGCUGUAGAGUUAUUUAAGAAAUUAAUGAGAAUGAGAGAAAUUGAACCCGACGUGGUUAUGUAUGGAACCAUUGUUAAUGGGCUCUGCAGAACGGGGAACACUAUCAGGGCUGUUAGUUUGCUUAGGAUAAUGGAAGAGGGAAGUUGUAAACCUAACACCGUAGUGUAUACCACAAUCAUUGACAGCCUUUGCAAGGAUAGAAUGCUGGAUGAUGCUAUGAAACUCUAUUCUAAGAUGAAUGAACAAGGCAUUCGUCAAGAUGUUGUCACUUAUACCUCUUUGAUUCAUGGCCUAUGUAAUUUUGGCAGGUGGAAGGAGGCUGCCGGAAUGUUUAGAGAAAUGUUGGAUAGUGGUAUCGCUCCGAAUGUUCAUACGUAUAGUGUGUUGCUGGAUGCAUGUACCAAGGAAGGGAAGAUGAAAGAGGCAGAGGUGGUACUUGAAAUCAUGAUACAACGAGGUGUGGAUCCUAAUGUAGUCACAUACAAUGCUCUAAUGGAUGGAUAUUGUUUGCAAGGCCAAAUGGAUGAAGCAAUCAGAGUGUUCAAUACCAUGGUGGAUAGGGGCCUUCACUGUAACAUUGUUAGUCACAACAUUUUGAUUAAUGGAUAUUGCAAGAAGAUGAAAAUUGAUGAGGCCAUGCAUCUCUUUCAAGAAUUGUCUCGAAGGGGGUUGAAACCUAACAUUGAAACCUUCAGUGCUGUGUUAUGGGGUUUGUUUCAAACAGGUAGAUGUGGAGCUGCUCAAAAACUUUUCAAUGAUAUGCAAACUGCAGGCAUAAAUCCAGAUUCUCAAACUUAUGGUAUCUUAUUGGAUGGGUUGUGCAAAAAUGGCCAUAUUUCUGAAGCGUUGUCAUUAUUCCACAUGAUGGAAAGCAACGGUUUACAUCUUAAUAUUGUUAUGUAUAAUAUCCUCAUUGAUGCAUUUUGCAAGGAUAAAAAGCUUGAUAUUGCAAGGGCUAUUUUCAAUAACCUUUCUUCCAAGGGAUUACAUCCUAAUGUUAAGACAUAUAAUAUGAUGAUACAUGGUCUUUGUGAAGAAGGCCUAUUGCAUGAAGCUCAAAAGUUGUUUGUUACAAUGGAACAUAAUGGUUGUUUGCCAGAUGAUGUCACUUACAACACUAUUAUCCGAGGAUUUAUUGGACAACACGAGUGCUAUGAGGCAUUAAUACUCGUUGAGGAAAUGGUUCAGAGGGGUUUUUCAGCAGAUGCAUCCAAUUGUUCCUUGAUCGUAGAUAUACUCUCAACUAAAGGACAAGAUCCGGCUCUUCGAGAAGUGAUAAAGAAGUUCAUGCCAAAAGAUAGUCAUGGAAUGCAUGAUAUUGAGUAAAUUUAUUAAGAUGUGAAGGGACUUUGUUAAAGGACCCGUGUGCUGAUUAUGGAGAUUAUUCAAAUCCAUGAUGGAGUUUUAAAGGCUGUAUCAUCUUGGACUGGGAAGGAUUUCUUGUGGAAUCAAGGAAUUUGUGUAGUACCUGCAACUGCAGGAGCUUGAUCUUUGCUGUUUGCUUCCUCAUACAAGGCUUAAGCUUAAUUCCUCAUCAUUACAUCCAAGGAAAUAUUCCAUUAUGCUAAGAAGAAAAUUUGCACAUUUAGCUGCAAAUUCAACAUCAGGGUUUAGUAUUACAUUAGGUAUGUUCUAGAGAUGAAUAAAAACCCUUCAGAUUUCAUUUGAAUGUUUAGCCAAUAUGUGUCUAAUUGUGAGAGUUCCCUUUGUAGUAGAGGUUUUGUGAUGCAAUAAUGUUACGAUUGGCUUAAAGGUAACUUUGCUGGCCUCUUAACCAAAAAAGAGAAUUGAUCUUUAUUUGUCACCCUUUUGACUCAGAGCUAGUGGACAUCAUACUAAACUUCUGUAUGUUUAUUUAUAAUUGUAAAUAUGCUAGUCUUCUUCUUCAUUCUCCCCCUGGAGAUUGCCAUGUUCAAUGCAAAUGCUCACUUGAUACGUUAAAUAAUAAAUAUAGAUGCAGCUACCGCUUGAAAACAUACAUCUAUCUUGUGCAGGUAAGAGAGGUGAAAUUGAUGCUUGAAAACAUACAUCUAUCUUGUGCAGGUAAGAGUGGUGAAAUUGAUGUUUCUGGGUUGAUGUUAAUAAAAUCUUUAUGGCAACAGCCUUCAAUAGAUCCGUCUUGUAAAUAAACGUUCCCGGGUUUCUACACAAAUAGGAGAACAAGUAUUGAUACUAAACUGAUUGACCAUCAAUCAGAGGGUGCAUGGGAGUAACUCAGACCUUUUUGCAUUUGCAAUGAUUCUAAAUGUAACUAAUUUCCUUUGUAGAAACAGUAUGUACGUUGUAUUCUUAUAGUCUCUACCCACUGAAGCUUUGAACCACGCAGCUUACUAGGCAUAGCAUUGCAACUUUUUUUUUUUUUUCAGAAAAAAAAAAAAAAACUAUUUGCAGCAAAUUAUGAUCUCUCAAAUGGUUCUUGGAGAUUCUCUCUCUUAUUUUUUAUGAGAGAUUGCUUAUAAGAAUUUUCUUUUUAUGAAUUUAUUGUCAGUUCGGAUUUUUAAAAUUGGUGAUGGAAUUUUUGUUGUAUCAUUUAUCUAUCUUAUUCCAAGCCUUCAAAGUAGUUCUAUGUUGACAUGUCUGUCAUUUUUUUUGGGGGGUCUCUGUGUGUGCAAAUGGACCAUGGUUGUGCAAGACACAUAUCUUUGGAAAGAACAAAAGGAAAUCUUUUGGGGGACUUCCAAAUGUUCUGAGGUUUGCUUUGUAGAUUUUCAUCAAAAAUUGGUUUUUGAGUAGAAGUUUCAUGUGCUCAAAUUAGUUUAUCCUUUCUAAUUUGGUAUUUUCAAUGAUGGCGAACCAAAGAAAUAUUACAUCAUUUUUUAUUUUGUAUUUUUUACAAUUUGGCUAGAGUUUUGAAGCAGUUUAUGAAAACUUAGUGAACAUUUAUUGCAUUUAUCUCAUGCAAUGGAGCUGUUAACACAUGUAUUAAAAGUUAGAUUUUAUUUGUAGCUAGCUAUUUAGCCUACCGUUGUGGAAUUAAGAGAUUAAAAUAUUAAUUUUUCAAAAAGAAAUUCAAACUCUACUUCAAACUUUAUCAUUGUUUGUUAAAAAAUCAUUACCUGUAUUUUAGUCCUGUUUCAGUGCUUUGCUCCACAACUUUCAAUUUAUUUAUUUAUUUAUCUUUUAUUAUUGCCAUUGCUGCUAGCUAGUCCUCUUCCAUAAUAAAAAGCAACCAAAUAUUGAUUUCUUAACUAUUUGUGUGCUCAACCCCUUUAAUGAAUAACAACUCAACUAAAUUCAUCUACACUCUUUUACCAACCUGAGAGCAUAAGAGAGCAAGGUUAAGGGAUCAAAUUCGGGAUGAGUUUAAUUUGUAAUUUAAGAGAAUGAUGAGGUUGUAUGGUUGAAUAGAAAAUUGAGUUUUAUCAAUUUCCCAACAAUAGUGUUGACACUAAUUUUUGAUUUGAAUUUAUUUGAUUUUCUUUGCUUUGCUAGUGUUGACGUUAGUGUCGACACGAAUUUUUGAUAAACUUUGCUAGUAUUGACACUAAUUUUUAUAAGAUUUGUUAGUGUCAACACUAAUUAAGAAUUGUUUAAUGGGUUGGUGGGUUCAGAUAAUUUAGUUGAUGAGUUGCUAAUUUGUUUAUUGCAGAGCACACAUACUAUAAUCACACAUUUACAAGCUUAAUGAGACUCACUUUUGCCAUGGGAGAUUCCAUUUCUGAUAACAUGACUGCAGUCAUGUUUGGCCAGUAAGGAUGGAGAAAUAGAUGAGAUAGAGGGAGAAAGAUUUUCUUGAGAUAAAGAACAAGAAGGACAAUGAAACUCUCAACAAGGAUCCUAAAUGGGACUUGAAAUGUCGAAGUUGCUGGUUAUUCAAGGUGUGGUGGAUUCAAUGCUCAAAUGAGAAGCCAAUUUGGCCUCUGUCCGCAACAAGACCCGCAACGAGGGAAGCACUGAGUUGUUCAACUCCAUGAUUGACUAGACACUAGGCAAUAGAUGACGGAUGUAAAGGACAUUUUGAUGAAAGUGAAGAACAUUACGGUGGAUUUGAGAGAGUUGAACCUGAAGGUAAAUGCACUCUUGAAAAACUUCAACAUAGCAGUACCCUCUUCCCCUGCUGCACUUGCUGGUAUGUAUCUUUGCCAUCUCCACCACCACCACCACCACCACCACUACCGGUCACUAAUGGUGGAGGGAACGGUGGUGGAGGGAAUGGAGGAGGGAGUUAUUUUAGGAGAUCAUCUCUAACUUGAUGAUCAUCCAUGGGUUACUCAAUACCAUGCUGAAGCCAGCCACUAACGCGGCAUCUAGCUACUGAAUUGCUGAAAUCGAUGACAGGGUUCAACUCUAAGCAGCAGAUGUCCGAAGUGAAGCAACCUUCAGUGAAUGUGAACUUGCUGACCUGUUAGACAUCAAGGCAAAUGCACUGCUUAGUAAGUUUAAUAUUUCAAUACCCUCCCCUGCACCACUGCUUGGUGGUACAUCUUCACCAUCACCACCAUCAAAGGACACUAAUGGUGGAGGGAAUGGUGGAGGGAACAGUGGUGGGGAUCAAAGGAGGUAUUCUAGGAGUUGGUUGGGACACGAACAAUUUAUUAUUAUUAUUAUUAUUAUUAUUAUUAUUAUUAUUUUGUGAUCGAUUUUGUUAUGUUUCUGUAAAAGAAAUAUUUAAUUUCUUAAUGAAGAAUCUGAAAAAUUAUCUAGUUAAUCUUAAUCUCUUCUGAGGGUUUUGAUUACUAUUGCUUUUGAGUCUGGGUUUUAUUUAUUUA